rnacentral:lncRNA from 1 species
UGCAGGCCGCGUCCCAGGGGCAGGCCGGGCGUCGGGGUGCUGCCCCGCAGGACUCCCCACACGCUCGCCCGGCGCCGGGCCCCGCGUGUUGGGACUCAGGGCUGGGGCUCCCGUGUGUGCCCGGGCCUCGUCUACACCGCAGGCUGCAUCCCCGGGGACGCGUGAGCCAGGUCUGUGGUGCUUUCUCCAGGGCCUGGGGCGGCCACGGCCUGGAAUCACCCGGGAUCUGGCUCGGGUCUGAGGGCGCCCGGGGAGGCCCAGGAGCACCCACGCAGCACGGGGCAGCUCAGGUGCACGUCUGCCCACACGGAACAGCCCCCCGGCCCCGGCAGGUGGGUCCUUGGGAACCGUCCGGGUGGGAUGACAAAGGGUGCACGCGGCAGGUCGUGACCUUCACCGAGCGAGGUGCGGCUCAGGUAGUGACCCUUCUGCCCAAGAGCGGGGCCGGAGGGUGGCCGUGGGCGCUGGAGGGUCAGGGACGACUGAGCAGCCGGGGGCACAGCUGCGGGUGCAGGUGCACUUGUGGCCGGGAGGAGGCGCAGCUCAGCGGGGGGACAGGCCGCGUGCCAGGGCCCCACGGGAGCUCCACAGCGCGUCUGAGGCUCCGAGUGCAGGCGCGGGGCUGUGGCUGCUGCAGGGGGUCGGCGUCCUGCCUGCGUGCUCACGGGCUCCCGGGGACCCAGGAAGCUUUCUCCAGGGCUCCCCGGGCCAGGCGGUCACCGGCUCAGGGAAGCUCGAGGAGCCCGUGGGGAGGCCGCGGGGGACCCCGAGGGAGGGCUUGGGGCGCACGUCCGCCUGCUUGCUGCGCGCACGACGGCCGAUGCGAGCACCGUGAGGGCAGGAGGUCCCGUCCCACCAUCUCACAGGUGACCCCAGCCCGAGGAGCAGGUCCCCACUGGCCACACACAGUGUCCACUUCGGGCUCUUGCAAAAGUCACUGUUACAAAUACGUGAUUCGCGGGCUGCGUCCGGGAAGCGUAGCCCUGUACGUAUUCAUCGCAGCCGCCCUGAUGCGAGAUGAGAGAAAAUCGGCGUUCGACGUACCCCCAGGACCGUUUCCUCACAGAGAAUGAUACGGUUGAGGGGACGGAGGAAAAGGACGAAAAGCAGAAAAGGGAAAACGCCUCUCGCUCUCGCAAGGCGGCCACGCCCGGACGCAGAGCAGGAGCGAGGAGCCUGCGGACCGUCCCCACCAGCUCGGCCCCCAGGCGGCGGCCCUCGGCGCCGUUCCAGGCUGCCCCUGCGUCCCCCCGUGGGGUCUCGGGUGCACGGCCCCCCAACGGGCAGAGCGUGG